GCACCGAGAUAACCUCAGAAGAAGCCAGCCACUGUGUCUCUCUAGUGAGUGGAUACAGUGAGAUGAUGGUCAGACUGUUAACUUUCUCCAAGUCUACAAUAAUUUAGGGUUGGCUGUUCUUUGGGCCCUACUUCCAACUUUUUCUUCCUAACCUACUCCUUCUAACUGCCAAGGAGUAUCACUGCUAACACCACCACCAUCAAAUAAUCCGAUCUCAUUAUGGGGUUAUACCCACUGACGUUUUGAUGGAACUUAAAAAACACUGCAAAAUUAAAACCAGCCAGCCUUUCUAGUUGGUUAAAAAUCCGCAUAAAUUAAUGUUCUUUUGUUGCAAACACUGGGCCUAUUUCCCUCUCCUAGCCCGGGAUCCUGCAGCCUAGCACCGAACUACACCCUGGAGCGGCUGCCCGGUUCCCCCUCCUCCUGGGAACAGCUCCACCUCGGGGGCGCUGGAAACGCCCUCCGUGAGUUCCCUGGCACCAGCGGGAGUUUCAAGUUUCCACGCGCGGGGCGGGGGCUGGCGGCGGGCGCACGGCGAGCUUCGGGCCGCGCGGCUCCGCUUCGUUCACUGCGGGCUUCGGACUCGGGCUGACCCG
rnacentral:lncRNA from 1 species